rnacentral:rRNA from 1 species
AGAGUUUGAUUCUGGCUCAGGAGUGAACGCUAGCGACAGGCUUAACACAUGCAAGUCGGAGGGCAUCACGGGAGUAGCAAUACAACUGGUGGCGACCGGCGCACGGGUGAGUAACGCGUAUGCAACCUACCUAUCAGAGGGGAAUAACCCGGCGAAAGUCGGACUAAUACCGCAUAAAACAGGGGCACCGCAUGGUGAUAUUUGUUAAAGAAAUUCGCUGAUAGAUGGGCAUGCGUUCCAUUAGGUAGUUGGUGAGGUAACGGCUCACCAAGCCGACGAUGGAUAGGGGAACUGAGAGGUUGGUCCCCCACACUGGUACUGAGACACGGACCAGACUCCUACGGGAGGCAGCAGUGAGGAAUAUUGGUCAAUGGGCGGGAGCCUGAACCAGCCAAGUCGCGUGAAGGAAGAAGGAUCUAUGGUUCGUAAACUUCUUUUGCAGGGGAAUAAAGUGCAGGACGUGUCCUGUUUUGUAUGUACCCUGAGAAUAAGGAUCGGCUAACUCCGUGCCAGCCGCGGC